rnacentral:rRNA from 1 species
AGCAAAUAGAUACCCAGGUAGUCCACGCUGUAAACGAUGGAUGCUAGCUGUGAUACGUAUCGACCCGUGUCGUAGCGAAGCUAACGCGUUAAGCAUCCCGCCUGUGGAGUACGGCCGCAAGGCUAAAACAUAAAGGAAUUGACGGGGACCCGGCACAAGCGGUGGAGCGUGUUGUUUAAUUCGAUGGUAAGCGAAGAACCUUACCCAGGUUUGACAUCCUUGGAAAUUCUGCGAAAGCAGAGUGUGCCUUUUGGUAACCAAGUGACAGGUGAUGCAUGGCCGUCUUCAGCUCGUGUCGUGAGACGUUAGGUUAAGUCCUUCAACGAGCGCAACCCUUAUAGUUAGUUGUAUUUUUCUAGCUAGACUGCCCUGGUAACAGGGAGGAAGGAGGGGAUGAUGUCAGGUCAGUAUCUCCCUUACUAUCUGGGGUCGUACAAA